ACAGAUCAUUUCAGUAUAAAUUUUCUGAAGUAAAUUUUGCCAUUAAAGAGAAUGUCUUACGCCAUAGUGAGAACGCAUCGAGUGAGCUCUACUUGGCCAAAAACAUGAUGGGUACCAUAAUUGGGCCAUAACACUGCAAUACCCCUUGUUAAUAUUAAUUUGUGAAAUAUGUAUAUUUUAGGCAUUCAAAGAAAUAAAUUGGAAUGGUUUUACAUUGACAGACAUAUGUGAAUUAUAAAUGGAUGUUUCUUGAGAUGUAAUGUGCUCAGCUGAUGACUGUGAAAAACAAGGGACAAUUUCUUUUUAAGUGAUAUGAUUGUUUAACCAUCAAAGAUUCACCCAUUUCACAUUCAUCAACAAAUACUGCACUCAUUCCUAAUAAAACAUACAAUUGAUAAAA